rnacentral:rRNA from 1 species
CUGCCAGUCCAGGCCAGCAUCAGUUUGCCCCGGGGGAUAAAGGCGGCGGGAAUGUGGCUCCCUUCGGGGAGUGUUAUAGCCCGUCGUGUAAUGCCCUGGGGCGGACUGAGGAACGCGCUUCGGCACGGAUGCUGGCGUAAUGGUCAUCAAUGACCCGUCUUGAAACACGGACCAAGGAGUCGUCUUCGUAUGCGAGUGUUCGGGUGUCAAACCCCUACGCGUAAUGAAAGUGAACGUAGGUGAGAGCUUCGGCGCAUCACCGACCGAUCCUGAUGUUCUCGGAUGGAUUUGAGUAAGAGCAUACGGGGCCGGACCCGAAAGAAGGUGAACUAUGCCUGUAUAGGGUGAAGCCAGAGGAAACUCUGGUGGAGGCUCGCAGCGGUUCUGACGUGCAAAUCGAUCGUCAAAUAUGGGCAUGGGGGCGAAAGACUAAUCGAACCUUCUAGUAGCUGGUUUCCGCCGAAGUUUCCCUCAGGAUAGCAGUGUUGAACUCAGUUUUAUGAGGUAAAGCGAAUGAUUAGGGACCAGGGGGCGCUAUUUAGCCUUCAUCCAUUCUCAAACUUUAAAUAUGUAAGAAGCUCUUGUUACUUAAUUGAACGUGGGCAUUCGAAUGUAUCAACACUAGUGGGCCAUUUUUGGUAAGCAGAACUGGCGAUGCGGGAUGAACCGAACGCGAGGUUAAGGUGCCAGAGUAGACGCUCAUCAGACACCACAAAAGGUGUUGGUUCAUCUAG